UACGAAGGGGGCUAGCGUUGUUCGGAAUUACUGGGCGUAAAGGGCGCGCAGGCGGCUCAUCAAGUCAGGCGUGAAAGCCCCGGGCUCAACCUGGGAAUUGCGCUUGAGACUGGCGAGCUUGAGUUCGGGAGAGGAGAGUGGAAUUCCCAGUGUAGAGGUGAAAUUCGUAGAUAUUGGGAAGAACACCCGUGGCGAAGGCGGCUCUCUGGGACGGUACUGACGCUGAGACGCGAAAGCGUGGGGAGCGAACAGG
rnacentral:rRNA from 1 species